rnacentral:lncRNA from 1 species
CUGGCACUAAAGGGUAAAGGGACAAUAUAUAUUGUCCCUAUCCUAUAUAGGGACAAGCACUGGAUGUCUUCUUCAUCAGUGAUACAUUCUGAAGGAAACAGAAAAGCAUUCUUUGCACAUUGAUACUGCUUAGAAGCAUUGGAAAGAGUUAAACCCUCCUGAGGCUGUGGACCCCACAGAGUAUCCCAGAGUGUACUUCCAUGAGAACCAUCAUAAUUUGUGUCUGUCAAGCUGGGCAACACACAGAAUGGAAGGUAGGAAAGUCCAAUUUGUAGAGAUCAUCAGAUAACACAGGAGGAUGCCAAUUUCAGUGGACUAAGUUAGAUUGGUCAAAACAGGUUCUGAGCACGAAAGCACAAAAGUGAUUUGAUUAAGUCUGUGUGUAUGGAGACCAUCAGAGAUAUGCUGGCAAAGACAGAUAACAUUUCAGCUUGAAAUAGAUCAGUGGAUUAAAGAGCUGACAAAAUUAAACUCUGCUCCAACUCACCUAUGUCCCAGGCAUAAUUUAAGAAUCAGAAGAAGGCAUUUCUGAAAACAUCUAAGCUAACCUUGUGCAAAAUGGAUAGAGGGCACCUCAUAUAUCACUUCUGCAUGUAAGGGAUCAGAAGGACUGCUCUGCAACAAGACAGCAGGAUUUUCCCAUAAAGUAAGAAAAAUAUUACCCUUGACUUAAAGAGGACUUGCCUAACCCUACCCAGCUACGAAAUCUCAAAGUGUGGAGAGAAGAAGAGUUUAAAAUUGACACAGGAAGUUCAGCAUCAACAAAUCACAAAUGCUGUUGAAGAAACUCCAAAAAUGCUGUAAAGCUUAAGAAAAACUGCAGUGGCAUAUACCUUAGCACAUUUCCUCCCACAAGGAGUGAGAA